CAGUUUAGAGAUCAGCUGAAUCUACGCCUUGUUGAAAGAUGCGUUGGUAACUGGCACGAUGAAACAGUCCUGUGGCAAAAGGUUUUUUUUGUUUUGGAUGCCUCGCUGGUACCAUCAGCCACAUACCUGGGGGAUAAUCCACAUCAUCAAGGCACCAUCUAUCGAUCUGGGUGGCUGUUACCUGAAGCUCUUGGAGGUUCUCAAACAAUCCACAGUCCACACCAAUGUCUAUCACAGAAAAUUCAACAAUAGAUUGUUGGUAUAGGAUUAACUUUGUCUUAAAACGUCGCAAAACAUUGUUGAGUUUUUACAGAAGGAACUACAUCCAAAAUUGUAUGAAACUUCUGCAAUGAUCCUGAAGGAUGAAGAAGAGUGAAGGUUGAGCAGGUUGAUCCUUUACUCAUACACUUGAAGACUUAGAAGACUGGGAAAACUUUGCAUGUGAAUGCAAGGAAAGCGAUGGGACCAGAUGGAGUACCAGGCCGUGCACUCAGGACAUGCGCAGAUCAACUGGCAGAGGUCUUCUCAGAUAUAUUCAACCUCUCACUGCAGCAGACCACAGUCCCUGCCUGUUUCAAGAGGGCCAACAUCAUCCCUGUGCCUAAGAAGGCUCAUGCAGCAUCUGUCAAUGACUACCAACCUGUGGCCCUUACAUUGGUGGUCAUGAAGUGCUUUGAAAGGCUGGUCAUGGUAUUAAUCAACUCCAGCCUCCCCAUUACUCUUGACUCACUCCAAUUUGCCUAUCAGACCAACAGAUCCAUGUCAGAUGCCAUAUCACUUACUCUUCACUCCUCCAGAGAACAUCUUGACACGAAGAACAGCUACAUAAAAUCCUACUCACUGACUACAGUUCAGCCUUCAACGUUAUUAUCCCCUCAAGACUGAUUACUAAACUUAGUGAUCUUGGACUAAGCCCCACUCUCUGCAACUGGAUCCUCAGUUUCCUGACCCACAGGCCACAAUCAGUGAAGAUGGGGACAAUAUUUCAUCCUCACUAAAACUCAACACUGGAGCCCGCCAGGGGUGCGUACUCAACCCCCGACUGUUCUCACUGUAUACCCAUGACUGCGUCACCAAAUACCAGACUAAUGCCAUUUACAAGUUUGCUGAUGAGACCACCAUAGUCAGUUGAAUAUCAGAUUGCGAUGAAACAUACUUCAGAUGGUAGGGGGAAGACUUGGAAAAAAGGUGCACUGAGAACAACCUAGCUCGCAAUGCUGGCAAAACCAAGGAACUCAUUGUUGACUUUCGGUGGGAUGUUACACAAUAACAGAACAGAGGUGGAAAGAAUUGAGAGUGUCAAGCUCCUGGGAGUGGUCAUCCACAACAAGCUUUCUUGGACUCUUCAUUGGUAUGACAGCGAAUACUCUUGGCAACUUUUAUAGGUGUGUGAUCUAGAGCAUUCAGUCUGAAUGUAUCACUACCUGGUAUGGCAACUGUACCAUUCAAGAUCGGUUACAGAGAGUGGUGAACUCGACCCGGACAAUCACAAAGACCAACCUCCCAUCUAUAGAGUCCAUCUACCAGGCCCACUGUUAAGGAAAGGCCGCCAGCAUUCUCAAAGAUCCAUCCCAGCCUUGCAAUGCUUUACCACAACCUCUACCAUCAGGGAGAAGAUACAGCAGCUGAUUUCACAACAGUUUCUACCUUACUGUUGUUAGAAUACUGAAUGGACUCACAGACUCUUAACACUUGCC